CUCCGGUUGAUCCCGCCGGACCCGACUGCUAUCAGAGUGGGACUAAGCCAUGCGAGUCAACGUAGUAAUGUGUGGCAUACGGCUCAGUAACACGUAGUCAACAUGCCCAGGGGACGUGGAUAACCUCGGGAAACUGAGGAUAAACCGCGAUAGGUCAUCGUUUCUGGAAUGGGCAAUGACUGAAAUCUAUAUGGCUCCUGGAUUGGACUGCGGCCGAUCAGGCUGUUGGUGAGGUAAUGGCCCACCAAACCUGUAACCGGUACGGGCUCUGAGAGAAGGAGCCCGGAGAUGGGCACUGAGACAAGGGCCCAGGCCCUAUGGGGCGCAGCAGGCGCGAAACCUCUGCAAUAGGCGAAAGCUUGACAGGGUUACUCUGAGUGAUUUCCGUUAAGGAGAUCUUUUGGCACUUCUAAAAAUAGUGCAGAAUAAGGGGUGGGCAAGUCUGGUGUCAGCCGCCGCGGUAAUACCAGCACCCCGAGUGGUCGGGACGUUUAUUGGGCCUAAAGCAUCCGUAGCCGGUUUUGCAAGUCUUCCGUUAAAUCCACCUGCUCAACAGAUGGGCUGCGGAAGAUACUACAGAGCUAGGAGGCGGGAGAGGCAAGCGGUACUUGAUGGGUAGGGGUAAAAUCCGUUGAUCCAUAGAAGACCACCAGUGGCGAAGGCGGCUUGCCAGAACGCGCUCGACGGUGAGGGAUGAAAGCUGGGGGAGCAAACCGGAUUAGAUACCCGGGUAGUCCCAGCUGUAAACGAUGCAGACUCGGUGAUGAGUUGGCUUCGCGCCAACUCAGUGCCGCAGGGAAGCCGUUAAGUUUGCCGCCUGGGGAGUACGGUCGCAAGACUGAAACUUAAAGGAUUGGCGGGGGAGCA
rnacentral:rRNA from 1 species